rnacentral:rRNA from 1 species
UAGGGAAUCUUCGGCAAUGGACGAAAGUCUGACCGAGCAACGCCGCGUGAGUGAAGAAGGUUUUCGGAUCGUAAAACUCUGUUGUUAGAGAAGAACAAGUAGGAGAGUAACUGCUCUUACCUUGACGGUAUCUAACCAGAAAGCCACGGCUAACUACGUGCCAGCAGCCGCGGUAAUACGUAGGUGGCAAGCGUUGUCCGGAUUUAUUGGGCGUAAAGCGAGCGCAGGCGGUCUUUUAAGUCUGAUGUGAAAGCCCUCGGCUCAACCGAGGAAGGUCAUUGGAAACUGGAGGACUUGAGUGCAGAAGAGGAGAGUGGAAUUCCAUGUGUAGCGGUGAAAUUGCGUAGAUAUAUGGAGGAACACCAGUGGCGAAGGCGACUCUCUGGUCUGUAACUGACGCUGAGGCUCGAAAAGCGUGGGGAGCCAAACA